rnacentral:rRNA from 1 species
GUGUGAAUUGCAGAAUUCAGUGAAUCAUCGAAUCUUUGAACGCACAUUGCGCCUCCUGGUAUUCCGGGAGGCAUGCCUGUUCGAGCGUCAUUAAAAUCCACUCAAGCUCUUUCUGCUUGGUCUUGGAGGAAGAGUCUGCUUGGAAUUGGAGGCUUAUGUCUCCUUUCUGAAAUACAGUGGCGAAUUGACUGUGCUGUAAACGUAGUAACUUUACCCGUUGAAAGCAUGUUCACAUUCCGCCAAAACCCCCUCUAUUAUCUAGUUUGACCUCGGAUCAGGUAGGGAUACCCGCUGAACUUAAGCAUAUCAWA